CGUAACAAGGUUUCCGUAGGUGAACCUGCGGAAGGAUCAUUAUUG
rnacentral:rRNA from 6 species